GUAUGGGCAUGUUGGAUCCCUGCUCGGGCAGCGACGACAUCUCAUCCACGUCUCUUCAGUUUGUUGGCUCGAGCACGUGCUCGGCYGAUGUUGGUUUUCWUGUGCUGAAUACCUAUUGCGAAGGCAUUCCGUCGGCUAUGAUUGUCCAUUUCCCACCUUGUACUGCUGCUCCUUGUGGGCAAGCGGUGUGGGGUGGGCCAAAUAGCGCAUGUCGUGUAUCGCACUGUGUUCACUUCUAUUGGUGUUCGGGUUGACGAUCCAUGAUGUGAUGCUCGCUCUCUCGGGUACGGAACAUUAUGUGGGUACGAGGCCAUCGGCCUCCGAGCACCACAAACAAGCGUUCUACGCUUCGUGCAAACGACGGUUGGUUCGGUCUUUGGCUGUGCUCUCGUGGCUCGGUUGAAGUUGGGCCGACCGUUCGA
rnacentral:misc_RNA from 1 species